rnacentral:rRNA from 1 species
UACGUAGGUGGCGAGUGUUAUUCGGAUUUACUGGGCGUAAAGGGUUCGUAGGGGGUAUGUUAAGUCUGAUGUGAAAGCCCGUGGCUCAACCACGGAAAGUCAUUGGAUACUGACAAACUUUGAGGGUUGGAGAGGAGAGUGGAAUACCAGGUGUAACGGUGGAAUGUGUAGAUAUCUGGUAGAACACCGAUGGCGAAGGC